rnacentral:rRNA from 1 species
UACGUAGGGUGCAGGCGUUAAUCGGAAUUACUGGGCGUAAAGCGUGCGCAGGCGGUCUUUUAAGUCAGAUGUGAAAUCCCCGGGCUUAACCUGGGAACUGCGUUUGAAACUGGAAGGCUGGAGUGUGGCAGAGGGGGGUGGAAUUCCACGUGUAGCAGUGAAAUGCGUAGAGAUGUGGAGGAACACCGAUGGCGAAGGCAGCCCCCUGGGCUAACACUGACGCUCAUGCACGAAAGCGUGGGGAGCAAACAGGAUUAGAAACCCCCGUAGUCC